rnacentral:rRNA from 1 species
AGUGAACGCUGGCGGUAGGCCUAACACAUGCAAGUCGAACGGCAGCACAGUAAGAGCUUGCUCUUACGGGUGGCGAGUGGCGGACGGGUGAGGAAUACAUCGGAAUCUACUUUUUCGUGGGGGAUAACGUAGGGAAACUUACGCUAAUACCGCAUACGACCUACGGGUGAAAGCAGGGGAUCUUCGGACCUUGCGCGAUUGAAUGAGCCGAUGUCGGAUUAGCUAGUUGGCGGGGUAAAGGCCCACCAAGGCGAGGAUCCGUAGCUGGUCUGAGUGGAUGGUAGGCCACACUGGAGCUGGGCCACGGUCCAUACUCCUACGGGAGGCCGCAGUGGGGAAUAUUGGACAAUGGGCGCAAGCCUGAUCCAGCCAUACCGCGUGGGUGAAGAAGGCCUUCGGGUUGUAAAGCCCUUUUGUUGGUAAAGAAAAGCAGCAGGUUAAUACCACGCUGUUCUGACGGUACCCAAAGAAUAAGCACCGGCUAACUUCGUG